AUGCUGCUGCACCACAUCCCCAGGAGAGCCCCUGCCUCCCUUCUGCUCUCAGGGAUGGGACUGGGAGAUGCCUCCAUGAAGAGAUUAGCACUUGGCAUGGCUUCAGUCCCCCAUGGAAGAGGCUGGGCUCCCCGCUGCUCAGAGCUCCUGGUUAGGGACAUCCACGCCUGCACCUGGCUCGGAGUCCAGGGUGCGCAUAUUCCGGAUCCAGCCACGAGAUGUUCCUGCUGCGGCUGCAGGUGUUUCCCAGCCCAGCUUGCUGAACCUCCAGCUCUGACUUUGGCACCUUCUUCAUUCCAGCUCUGGCUCUCAGAUGCUCCACUUGAUGGCUGCUCCAGUUCCUUCCAGCUCUGGCUAAAUAACUGGCGUCUCUUACGUAAUCUGUGUCUAUGUUCUGUCAUUUAUGUCCACCUUUGUCACAUCUCGAAGAUUUAUCAGCAUAUUUCCAAGCCAUGGGGAUUUUUGGGUGUUUGUGAUUUUUUGGGGGAAUUUCUGGCUUAAGCUUUGAGACAAGCAUAUGCUACUGGCAGGAUCAACCAGGUAGCCGCCACCCACGGCGGCGCCGCGGCGCCGCGCGCCAGCCCGGACGCGCCCGGCCCGCCGGCGAACGCCCUGCCCAUGCCAACGACGACAACACCCUGAGAGAGAGACCGCCCCGCGGCUCUUUUUCGCCGCUCCCGCCCGCGCGGGCAGCGGCGCACGACCACGGGGACACGGCCACCGUGGCGGCAUGGCAGCGACGGGCACCGGCGGCGGCGGCCGGCGACAUCGCGGCCCACCGGCGCCUGGGGCGGGGAACGGCGCCACGCGCAGAGAGCUACCCCCACCCGCCGGGCGGCGGGGGAGGCGGGAUUGCCCUCGGCGACGGCCGACCCCGGCGGCCGGCCCUUCCCGUGACGCCACGGGCAAGGAGCCGGGACCGCUGCGCAGCUGUAUUUUUUGGUUUUUUCCUUCGGACAACGCGAGCCUUUUUACUCCCCUUCGUUUCUCUCUCGGCCUUUUCCUCGCACAGCGCGCGCUCUCUCUUUCUCUCUCUGGGCUUCUCUCUCCCCUUCUCUGCCCUUUUAUCUCUCAGGGCCCACACCCUUCGAGACUCGGCCUAGCGUUCAUUGACGGGUCACACGGGCUGGCGUGCGUGGGGCAGGACUUGGCUGGGACUGACCCGCCCCCGAGGCCAGCCCAAAAGCACCGGACGUGCUAGAGGAGACAGCGACCCGACGAGGAGGUCGCGGGCCCGGACACCGAGGCCCCUUGGCUCGGGGCGGCUCGCUCUGCAGCAAGGCGGCGGCGCGACAAAAAGGAGCGCCAGUGCGGUGCGCGCGCGGAACGGGCUCUUUUCCCCCGUCCGUGCCCCCAAAUCGGUUCUCAUCGGCCCCUUUUCUUUCUCUCUCUCUCGGCUCUCGCGGGCCUGGCCCUUUUUUUUCUCGGCAAAGAGGAGCGCUGGUGCGGUGCGCGCGCGGAAUGGGCUCUUUUCCCCCAUCCGUGCCCAAUCGGUUCUCAUCGGCCCUUUCUCUCUCU
rnacentral:lncRNA from 12 species